UACGUAGGGGGCAAGCGUUGUCCGGAAUCAUUGGGCGUAAAGCGCGUGUAGGCGGCUUGGUAAGUCUGGUGUGAAACCUUGGGGCUCAACCCCAAGCCUGCACUGGAUACUGCCUCGCUUGAGUCCGGGAGGGGAGAGCGGAAUUCCUAGUGUAGCGGUGAAAUGCGCAGAUAUUAGGAAGAACACCGGUGGCGAAGGCGGCUCUCUGGAACGGUACUGACGCUGAGACGCGAAAGCGUGGGGAGCGAACAGG
rnacentral:rRNA from 1 species